CGGAUAUAUCACGUGGAAACACCGGUUCUCGUACGAUCACCGAAGUUAAGCAACGUCGAGCCUAGUCAAUACCUAGAUGGGUGAAGGCUUGGAAAUAUCGGGUGUUGUAA